AUUAAACGCUGGCGGCAUGCCUUACACAUGCAAGUCGAACGGCAGCACGGGGGCAACCCUGGUGGCGAGUGGCGGACGGGUGAGUAAAGCAUCGGAACGUAUCCUGGAGUGGGGGGAUAACGUAGCGAAAGUUACGCUAAUACCGCAUAUUCUGUGAGCAGGAAAGCAGGGGAUCGCAAGACCUUGCGCUCUGGGAGCGGCCGAUGUCGGAUUAGCUAGUUGGUGGGGUAAAGGCCUACCAAGGCGACGAUCCGUAGCGGGUCUGAGAGGAUGAUCCGCCACACUGGGACUGAGACACGGCCCAGACUCCUACGGGAGGCAGCAGUGGGGAAUUUUGGACAAUGGGCGGAAGCCUGAUCCAGCCAUGCCGUGUGAGUGAAGAAGGCCUGGUGUAAGCUCUUCGGUC
rnacentral:rRNA from 1 species